rnacentral:rRNA from 1 species
UACGGGGGGGGCAAGCGUUGUUCGGAAUUACUGGGCGUAAAGGGCUCGUAGGUGGCCAACUAAGUCGGACGUGAAAUCCCUCAGCUUAACUGGGGAACUGCGUCCGAUACUGGAUGGCUUGAGUUUGGAAGAGGGAUGCGGAAUUCCAGGUGUAGCGGUGAAAUGCGUAGAUAUCGGGAGGAACACCGGUGGCGAAGGCGGUUCUCUGGGCCUGUACUGACGCUGAGGAGCGAAAGCGUGGGGAGCGAACAGG